rnacentral:rRNA from 1 species
UACGUAGGGUGCGAGCGUUAAUCGGAAUUACUGGGCGUAAAGCGUGCGCAGGCGGUUCGUUGUGUCGGCGGUGAAAGCCCCGGGCUCAACCUGGGAAUGGCCGUUGAAACUGGCGAACUGGAGUGUGGCAGAGGGUGGAAUUCCGGCGUGUAGCAGUGAAAUGCGUAGAGAUGCGGAGGAACACCGAUGGCGAAAGGCAGCCCUGGCUGACACUGACGCUCAGGCACGAAGCGUGGAGCAAACAGG